CAGGCAGAUAUCUGAUCGAAGAACAUUCCAGGCAGGGGAGCAAAGGCUAGGGCCGUCAGGAGGCCAGUGUGGCCGGGGAAGAGGUGGAGGAGGAGGGGCCAGGGCAGUCGUUAGGCCGCCCCCUAAGGACUCAUGCUUUGACUUGGAUUGACAUAGAGAGCUGCAGGAGGGUGACAUGAUCUCAAUAAAAGGAAUGCUCUGGCUGCUGGGUAGAGAAGAAAGCGAGGGUGAGGGAUUAAUGGUGGAGCCAGAGGGAGCCCAGUGAGUGCCGGGAGCCCAGGGUGGCAGAGCUGUGGUGCAGGGUUGCAGGGUCCUGGAGCUAGGCAUGGAGGCUGCUUUCGGGCAAGUGGCCGGGUCAGCCUGUCCUCGGAGAGGCGGUGAAGGCAGAGACUGGAAGGCAGAGAGCCUUGCCGACCUGUGGCCGAAGAGCUCUCCGGGAGACAGCCACCGGUGGUGCAAAGGCCCUGGGGCCGGCCCAGCCGGGCCGCAGCUCCGGGAGGCGGCGCGAGCGAGCAGUGGGCUGGGCGGUGGCGGCCGGCACCCGAGCCGGAUCCCGGCGAUUGCCUUACAAGACAUGCUGCUGCUGAAGAAACACACGGAGGACAUCAGCAGCGUCUACGAGAUCCGCGAGAGGCUCGGCUCGUGAGUGUGCGCGCGCGUGUGUGAUCGUGUGUGUGUGUGUGUGUGUGUGUGUGUACCUGUGU
rnacentral:lncRNA from 1 species